GAUAAACGCUGGCGGCGCACAUAAGACAUGCAAGUCGAACGAACUUAAUUGAGAGCUUGCUCUCAAAGCGGUUAGUGGCGGACUGGUGAGUAACACGUAAGCAACCUGCCUAUUAGAGGGGAAUAACAGCGAGAAAUCGUUGCUAAUACCGCAUAUGCUGUGAGUAUCGCAUGAUACAAGCAGGAAAGGAGCAAUCCGCUAAUAGAUGGGCUUGCGUCUGAUUAGUUAGUUGGUGGGGUAACGGCCUACCAAGACGAUGAUCAGUAGCCGGACUGAGAGGUUGAACGGCCACAUUGGGACUGAGAUACGGCCCAGACUCCUACGGGAGGCAGCAGUCGGGAAUAUUGCGCAAUGGAGGAAACUCUGACGCAGUGGCGCCGCGUGCAGGAAGAAGGUUUUCGGAUUGUAAACUGCUUUUAACAGGAAAGAAAAAAAUGACGGUACCUGUUGAAUAAGCUCCGGCUAACUACGUGCCAGCAGCCGCGGUAAUACGUAGGGAGCGAGCGUUAUCCGGAUUUAUUGGGUGUAAAGGGUGCGUAGACGGAAAUGCAAGUUAGUUGUGAAAUACCUCGGCUUAACUGAGGAACUGCAACUAAAACUAUAUUUCUUGAGUAUCGGAGGGGUUUGUGGAAUUCCUAGUGUAGCGGUGAAAUGCGUAGAUAUUAGGAAGAACACCGGUGGCGAAGGCGACAAACUGGACGAUAACUGACGUUGAGGCACGAAAGUGUGGGGAGCAAACAGG
rnacentral:rRNA from 2 species